rnacentral:tRNA from 1 species
GGGCGUUUCGUACAGAGGGAAGUACACCGGUCUCCAAAACCGGAAAGGUGGGCUCGAGACCUGCAACGCCUGCCA